rnacentral:SRP_RNA from 1 species
GGCUGUAAUGGUCCAACGGCGAAGUCUCUCGAUUUAUCUUGCGCUAACCCUUAGCAUCUCAACCAUCCACCCAACCCCGUCAGAUCCCCCUCGCCUGGCGCCCAGCCCGAACGCUGCGGUGGCCGUCUUGCUCGCAUGGGUAACCUGCGAUUUGCCAAGCGGCCCUAAGCACUGGAGAUGACACUUGAGAGAGGAUUCACUCUGCAGAGAACUCUCCCCCGUCGCGUGGCGGGCUGGAUAACGACCGUGAGGGGCUUGGGUUGGUUGAGCGAGAUGGAGAUGCCAACGCCACUAUU